GCAGCUUCUUUCGACAUCGUUCAAUGGUGCCUUUGAAUGCUAGCUUGGAUACCAACUGUCACGGACUUAGAGUUUUCCCAAGCAAUCCGUGCGGCCUUAAGCGUUUCUCCGCUCAAAAAUGCCUAAGUCAGCCUGUCUUGCAACAAUUGAGGAUUCAAUAGAACUCAUCUAAAGAACCCACGAAGAACAGUAGAAGAACGAAGUAAGAACGAUCUCAAAAGAUGAACAAAAGCCACAGAAAAAUAAGAACACUUGAGAAAAAAGUUUGAGUGAAUACUCUCAAAAUUCUAUUGAUCACUCCUUGAAUACAAUAAGGGGGAGAGGCCUCUAUUUAUAGUUGAGCCUUCCCAAUAUCAACAGUACAGAUCGAAAUACAUUAAUGGCUAAGAUCUAAAGCUAUCAAGAUAUCAAAUCUCUAAGAUUACAGAAUUGCAUCUUCUAAAGAUUACAUUAAAGUCUAGGAUCAUAUAUCUUUGAAGAUCCCCUUCCAUAUUUGCCACGCAUAUCUUUGAAGAUUACUUUCCAUAUUUGCCAAGCUCCGGAGAUAGGCUUUCAAUCUCUCCAAGCACUGGACCAGUCUGAUUGGGCCAAUUGACCUCCCUCAAAAGCGAUAAAUCGCACAAGUCCAUCAUGGUUGCAAGUUCCCCUUCGCAACCCAUGACACUAGUAGCUGGUUCCCUCCGAAGUUUCCUUCAAGAUAGCUGGAGCCCUUAGCGAGUUAGAUCGAGUAAAUCCAAUGAUCAGAUGCAUCGGGGGAGCAACGCCCUCGACCUAUUCUUAGACUUUAAAUAGGUAAGACGGUGCGGCUGCUUCAUUGAACCGCGCCACGAAAUCGAGAGCUCCAAGUGGGCUAUUUUUGGUAAGUAGAACUGGCGAUGCGGGAUGAACUGGAAGUCGGGUUACGGUGCCCAACUGCGCGUUAACCUAGAACCCACAAAGGGUGUUGGUCGAUUAAGACAGCAGGACGGUGGUCAUGGAAGUCGAAAUCUACUAAGGAGUGUGUAACAACUCACCUGUCGAAUCAACUAGCCCCAAAAAUAGAUGGCAGUUAAGCGCAUGACCUAUACCCGACCAUAAGGGCAAGAGCCAGGCCUCGAUGAGUAGGAUGGCGCGGCAGUCGUCGCAAAACCUUGGGUGCGAACCCAGGCGGAGCGGCCGUCGGUGUAGAUCUUGGUGGUAUUAGCAAAUAUUCGAAUGAGAGCUUUGAAGGUCGAAGAAGGGAAAGGUUCCAUGUGAACGACACUUGCACAUGGGUUAGUCGAUCCUAAGAGACGGGGGAAGCCCGUCUGAUAGCGCGUUCAGCGCGAGCUUCGAAAGGGAAUCAGGUUAAAAUUCCUGAACUGGGACGCAGCGGCUGACGGCAAUGUUAGGGAGUCUGGAGACAUCGACGGGGGCCUCGGGAAGAGUUAUCUUUUCUGUUUAACUGCCUACCCACCCUAGAAACGGCUCAGCCGGAGGUAGGGUCCAGCUGCCGGAAGAGCACCGCACGUGGCGUGGUGUCCGGUGUGCCCCCGACGGCCCUUGAAAAUUCUGAGGACCAAGUGCCAUCUGCGUCCGGUUGUGCUCAUAACCGCAUCAGGUCUCCAAGGUGAACAGCCUCUGGUUAAUGGAACAAUGUAGGCAAGGGAAGUCGGUAAAAUGAAUCUGUAACCUCGGGAAAAGGAUUGGCUCUGAGGGCUGGGCAUGGGGGUCCUAGUCCCGAACCCGUCAGCUGCCGAUGUACUGCUCGAGCUGCUUUUGCGGCAAGAGCGGGUCGACACGUGCCGUCCGGGGGAUGGACUGGGAACGGCUCCUUCGGGGGCCUUCCCCGGAUGACGAACAGUCGACUCAGAACUGGUACGGACAAGGGGAAUCCGACUGUCUAAUUAAAACAAAGCAUUGCAAUGGUCUCUGUGGAUGCUCACGCAAUGUGAUUUCUGCCUAGUGCUCUGAAUGUCAAAGUGAAAAAAUUCAACCAAGCGCGGGUAAAUGGCGGGAGUAACUAUGACUCUCUUGAGGUAGCCAAAUGCCUCAUCAUCUAAUUAGUGACGCGCAUGAAUGGAUUAACGAGAUUCCCACUGUCUCUGUCUACUAUCCAGCGAAACCACAGCCAAGGGAACGAGCUUGACAGAAUCAGCGGGGAAAGAAGACCCUAUUGAGCUUGACUCUAGUCUGACUUUGUGAAAUGACUUGAGAGGUGUAGGAUAAGUGGGAGCUCUCGGGCGAAAUUGAAAUACCACUACUUUUAACGUUAUUUUACUUAUUCCGUGAAUCGGAGGCGGGG
rnacentral:rRNA from 1 species